UUGCUGAGGCAAUCCCCCAUAAAAACAUUCCUUGGAAAAUCUGAACAACAUGAGCAAAAACUCACUACCAUCGUUCAAGAAGAGAAAAAGAAA
rnacentral:snoRNA from 1 species